GACGACGCUGGCGGCGUGCCUAACACAUGCAAGUCGAGCGAGCGGCGGACGGGUGAGUAAUGUAUGGGGAACUGCCCGAUAGAGGGGGAUAACUACUGGAAACGGUGGCUAAUACCGCAUACUAUCGGAUGUACCCAUAUGGGAUUAGCUAGUAGGUGGGGUAAAGGCUCACCUAGGCGACGAUCCCUAGCUGGUCUGAGAGGCUGACCAGCCACACUGGGACUGAGACACGGCCCAGACGCCUACGGGAGGCAGCAGUGGGGAAUAUUGCACAAUGGGCGCAAGCCUGAUGCAGCCAUGCCGCGUGUAUGAAGAAGGCCUUAGGGUUGUAAAGUACUUUCAGCGGGGAGGCGUUACCCGCAGAAGAAGCACCGGCUAACUCCGUGCCAGCAGCCGCGGUAAUAC
rnacentral:rRNA from 1 species